CGGCAGGGCUACACAUGCAAGUCGAGCGGUAGAGAGAAGCUUGCUUCUCUUGAGAGCGGCGGACGGGUGAGUAAUGCCUAGGAAUCUGCCUAGUGGUGGGGGAUAACGUUCGGAAACGGACGCUAAUACCGCAUACGUCCUACGGGAGAAAGCGGGGGAUCUUCGGACCUCGCGCCAUUAGAUGAGCCUAGGUCGGAUUAGCUAGUUGGUGAGGUAAUGGCUCACCAAGGCGACGAUCCGUAACUGGUCUGAGAGGAUGAUCAGUCACACUGGAACUGAGACACGGUCCAGACUCCUACGGGAGGCAGCAGUGGGGAAUAUUGGACAAUGGGCGAAAGCCUGAUCCAGCCAUGCCGCGUGUGUGAAGAAGGUCUUCGGAUUGUAAAGCACUUUAAGUUGGGAGGAAGGGCAGUAACCUAAUACGUUAUUGUUUUGACGUUACCGACAGAAUAAGCACCGGCUAACUUCGUGCCAGCAGCCGCGGUAAUACGAAGGGUGCAAGCGUUAAUCGGAAUUACUGGGCGUAAAGCGCGCGUAGGUGGUUCAGUAAGUUGGAAGUGAAAUCCCCGGGCUCAACCUGGGAACUGCUUUCAAAACUGCUGAGCUAGAGUACGGUAGAGGGUGGUGGAAUUUCCUGUGUAGCGGUGAAAUGCGUAGAUAUAGGAAGGAACACCAGUGGCGAAGGCGACCACCUGGACUGAUACUGACACUGAGGUGCGAAAGCGUGGGGAGCAAACAGGAUUAGAUACCCUGGUAGUCCACGCCGUAAACGAUGUCAACUAGCCGUUGGGAGUCUUGAACUCUUAGUGGCGCAGCUAACGCAUUAAGUUGACCGCCUGGGGAGUACGGCCGCAAGGUUAAAACUCAAAUGAAUUGACGGGGCCCGCACAAGCGGUGGAGCAUGUGGUUUAUUCGAAGCAACGCGAAGAACCUUACCUGGG
rnacentral:rRNA from 1 species